rnacentral:rRNA from 1 species
CAGCAGCCACGGGAAUACAGAGGGUGCGAGCGUUAAUCGGAUUUACUGGGAGUAAAGCGUGCGUAGGCGGCUUCUUAAGUCGGAUGUGAAAUCCCUGAGCUUAACUUAGGAAUUGCAUUCGAUACUGGGAAGCUAGAGUAUGGGAGAGGAUGGUAGAAUUCCAGGUGUAGCGGUGAAAUGCGUAGAGAUCUGGAGGAAUACCGAUGGCGAAGGCAGCCAUCUGGCCUAAUACUGACGCUGAGGUACGAAAGCAUGGGGAGCAAACAGGAUUAGAUACCCCAGUAGUCCCUGUCUCUUAUAC